AUAUAUAUCCUGCUAGGGAGAUGUUAUGGUCAUAAAGUCGUUUUUUCCAGGGUAAGGCUCAUCCUUUGCAUUCCACAUGUUCAGACUGUUGCAAUUUCCCCAAAUGUGGGAAACUCAACUGCAUAAUUUGUGGGCACUAAAAAUGAUGGCACUAUGUUGGC
rnacentral:snRNA from 1 species